UACGUAGGGAGCAAGCGUUGUCCGGAAUCAUUGGGCGUAAAGCGCGCGUAGGUGGCCACAUAAGUCCGUUGUGAAAGUCAAAGGCUCAACCUUUGAAAGCCGAUGGAUACUGUGUGGCUAGAGUACGGAAGAGGCGAGUGGAAUUCCUGGUGUAGCGGUGAAAUGCGCAGAUAUCAGGAAGAACACCAAUGGCGAAGGCAGCUCUCUGGGACGGUACUGACGCUGAGACGCGAAAGCGUGGGGAGCGAACAGG
rnacentral:rRNA from 1 species